rnacentral:rRNA from 1 species
UACGGGGGGAGCAAGCGUUGUUCGGAUUUACUGGGCGUAAAGGGCGCGUAGGCGGCCACGACAAGUCAGCUGUGAAAUCUCCGGGCUUAACCCGGAACGGUCAGCUGAUACUGUCGGGCUAGAGUGCAGAAGGGGCAACUGGAAUUCUCGGUGUAGCGGUGAAAUGCGUAGAUAUCGGGAGGAACACCAGUGGCGUAAGCGAUCACCUGGCUAGGCCUGACGCUGAGGGACGAAGGCGUGGGGAGCAAACGGGG